rnacentral:lncRNA from 1 species
CUGGGGUUCACUAAUGCAUCUAGACUCGAUAAGGUUUCGGCUCCCAAGCCUUCAGACCUAAAGGCGAAGGGUCAUCACUCCCAGGGCCUUUGAUCGGUGGCUCGAGUGAUCCCUUAGGUAGCGCUAUGGGCGCAGAGCACACCAGCUGCCUACCCAAGGCAAUCGAUCCUAAUCCUACAAGGCGGUGUGGGAAACGCCCACGAAAAAUAAAAUAAAAUGGGAUAAAAGCAAGUAAACGUGCACGUAUGAAGUGUUUUCCUAUUUUGAGGGAAGGGGUUGAGAACCACGAGAGGCUCUAAAGGUGACACACCCCCUCCCAAAUGCAAUGCAAGCGCGAGAUAAACAAGUAAACAUACAUCCAAUCAACCAAUCACACGUACGUGAGUGAGGGAAUAGUUUGAUACGCGCGUGAGGAAAAGGGUCCUAAAAAGGGAAAAUGCAACCCUAAUAUCCACAUGCUAUACAUAAAAAAGGUAGAAAAAAGGAAAAGAACGGCUAAAUCAAAUGCUCGGACCCACUUAGGAAGUCCCCAGUGGAGUCGCCAACUGUCGCGCCCCACUUUUCGAAGAUGAUGAGUUGUGGUGUGUGUGUGGUGUGAGAUGUGAGUGGUGUAAUGGAAUGUGAACGUGUGUAAAUGAAAAGUAAAAGGCCAUGGGACUUGAUAAUGCGACGGUUUGGCCAUAUAAAGUUCAAAAAGGGUUUUUUGUAUCAAAAAUGGAGUCGCCACUUGGUAUAGGGUUAGGGUGUACCAAGUCACCCAAAAAAUGGUUUUUUGUUUUUGAAUAAAAAAAGUAAAUAAACCCUUUUAAAGAACUUUUGGGUCUACGUAACCAAAAAGAGGGAUCGGGGGUCACAUUUGACGAAGGGGAAGGCAAGGAUAAAAAAUCCAAGGCACCCCUUCGACCUAGCCAAGGCUAGUUGCGUGACUUAAACCAAUUUUUCCUAAUUUUUCUACCCAAGGUAUGUAUCGCGUGUUGG